rnacentral:rRNA from 1 species
GACGAACGCUGGCGGCGUGCUUAACACAUGCAAGUCGAACGGAAAGGCCCUGCUUUUGUGGGGUGCUCGAGUGGCGAACGGGUGAGUAACACGUGAGUAACCUGCCCUUGACUUUGGGAUAACUUCAGGAAACUGGGGCUAAUACCGGAUAGGAACUCCUGCUGCAUGGUGGGGGUUGGAAAGUUUCGGCGGUUGGGGAUGGACUGGCGGCUUAUCAGCUUGUUGGUGGGGUAGUGGCUUACCAAGGCUUUGACGGGUAGCCGGCCUGAGAGGGUGACCGGCCACAUUGGGACUGAGAUACGGCCCAGACUCCUACGGGAGGCAGCAGUGGGGAAUAUUGCACAAUGGGCGGAAGCCUGAUGCAGCAACGCCGCGUGCGGGAUGACGGCCUUCGGGUUGUAAACCGCUUUCGCCUGUGACGAAGCGUGAGUGACGGUAAUGGGUAAAGAAGCACCGGCUAACUACGUG